UGAAGACCUCUGUGAUGAUUCACUCCCACUUAAUAAAUAUUCGUGUCCUUUUUCCUAUUUUAAAAUCAAGAUAAUAGGGUUUUCACCCUAAAGACUCUGCCAAAACUUGCAAGAGCUGAUAAAAGACUUCAGUAAAGUUUCAGGAUAUAAAAUCAAUGUACAAAAGCCAGCAGCAUUUCUAUACACCAGUAAUAUUCAAGCCAAGACUCAAAUCAAGAAUACAAUACCAUUUACAACAGCCACACAAACAAAAUACCUAAGAAUAUAUGUAACCAAUAAGGUGAUAUAUCUCUACAAGGAGAACUACAAAACACUGCUAAAUGGAAUCAUAGAUGACACAAAUAAAUGGAAAAAUAUUCCAUGCUCAUAGACUGGAAGAAUCAGUAUUGUUAAAAUGGCCAUACUGCCAAAAUCAAUCCAUAGGUUCAAUGCUAUUUUUAUCAAACUACCAAUGUAAUUUUUCACAUAAUUAGAAAAAAAAUUCUAAAAUUCAUAUGGAACCCCCUCCCCCAAAAAAAGAGCCCAAAUGGCUAAAGCAAUCCUAAGCAAAAAUAAAAAAGCCAGAGGUAUCACGUUACUCAACUUCAAGCUACACUAUAAGGCCACAGCAACCCAAAGAGCAUGCUAUUGGAAAAAAAAAAAAAAAAAAAAAGACACAUAGGCCAAUGAAACAGAAUACAGAACCCGGAAAUAAAGCCAUACACCUACAGCCAUUUGAUUUUCAACAAAAUUGGCAAAAAUAAGCAAUGGGGAAAGGACUCACUACUCAAUAAAUGGUGCUGGGACAGCUGGCUUAAGAAUGAAACAGCACCUACCUUUUACCAUAUAAAAAAAUUAGCUCAAGAUAGAUUGCAGGUUUAAA
rnacentral:lncRNA from 1 species